UACGUAGGGAGCAAGCGUUGUCCGGAAUCAUUGGGCGUAAAGCGCGCGUAGGUGGCCACAUAAGUCCGUUGUGAAAGUCAAAGGCUCAACCUUUGAAAGCCGAUGGAUACUGUGUGGCUAGAGUACGGAAGAGGCGAGUGGAAUUCCUGGUGUAGCGGUGGAAUGCGCAGAUAUCAGGAGGAACACCAAUAGCGAAGGCAGCUCGCUGGGACGUUACUGACACUGGAGGCGCGAAAGCGUGGGGAGCGAACAGG
rnacentral:rRNA from 1 species